rnacentral:rRNA from 1 species
UACGAAGGGGGCUAGCGUUGCUCGGAAUCACUGGGCGUAAAGGGUGCGUAGGCGGGUCUUUAAGUCAGGGGUGAAAUCCUGGAGCUCAACUCCAGAACUGCCUUUGAUACUGAAGAUCUUGAGUUCGGGAGAGGUGAGUGGAACUGCGAGUGUAGAGGUGAAAUUCGUAAAUAUUCGCAAGAACACCAGUGGCGAAGGCGGCUCACUGGCCCGAUACUGACGCUGAGGCACGAAAGCGUGGGGAGCAAACAGG